AACGAACGCUGGCGGCAGGCCUAACACAUGCAAGUCGAGCGCACUCUUCGGAGUGAGCGGCGGACGGGUUAGUAACGCGUGGGAAUAUGCCCUUCACUACGGAAUAGCCUCGGGAAACUGAGAGUAAUACCGUAUACGCCCUUCGGGGGAAAGAUUUAUCGGUGAAGGAUUAGCCCGCGUCUGAUUAGAUAGUUGGUGGGGUAACGGCCUACCAAGUCGACGAUCAGUAGCUGGUUUGAGAGGAUGAUCAGCAACACUGGGACUGAGACACGGCCCAGACUCCUACGGGAGGCAGCAGUGGGGAAUCUUAGACAAUGGGCGCAAGCCUGAUCUAGCCAUGCCGCGUGAGUGACGAAGGCCUUAGGGUCGUAAAGCUCUUUCGCCUGUGAAGAUAAUGACUGUAGCA
rnacentral:rRNA from 1 species